rnacentral:lncRNA from 1 species
CUUUGCUGACCUUGUCUGUCUCCAGUUACUUUGUUCAUAACUUUGCUGCUGUUACUAGGAGAAAAAUUCUUAGGAGUCCCAGGAUGUGCAGGGAGAGCCUUGAGAGGCUCAAAAUGAACACUUUGCUGUGGUCCUCACAACAAGAGAAGAAACACACUCAUGCUUAAUUUACCUGCUGAUGAAGCCUUGUCACAGGCAGAGGGAUUAAAAAUAAAUGCGGUACCAAAACUGGGGAAAUUGGUGCAUGUUUGCCAGGACAAGAUGACAUUUGCAUGGUAGCUCAU